rnacentral:rRNA from 1 species
ACGCUGGCGGCAGGCCUAACACAUGCAAGUCGAGCGGAUGAGAAGAGCUUGCUCUUCGAUUCAGCGGCGGACGGGUGAGUAAUACCUAGGAAUCUGCCUGGUAGUGGGGGACAACGUUUCGAAAGGAACGCUAAUACCGCAUACGUCCUACGGGAGAAAGCAGGGGACCUUCGGGCCUUGCGCUAUCAGAUGAGCCUAGGUCGGAUUAGCUAGUUGGUGAGGUAAUGGCUCACCAAGGCUACGAUCCGUAACUGGUCUGAGAGGAUGAUCAGUCACACUG